rnacentral:lncRNA from 1 species
GCACACGUUUUGCAAACGAUGUUUGCUGGGGAUUGUGGGUUCCCGGAAUGAACUCAGAUGUCCCGAAUGCCGGACUCUUGUUGGCUCUGGGGUUGACGAGCUCCCCAGUAACAUCCUACUGGUCAGACUUCUGGAUGGCAUCAAGCAGAGGCCUUGGAAACCCGGCCCUGGUGGGGGCGGCUCGACCACCUGCACAAAUGUAUUAAGGGCGCAGGGCAGCACUGUGGUUAAUUGUGGCUCAAAAGAUCUGCAGAGCCCCCAGUGUGGACAGCAACCUCGGGUGCAAGCCUGGAGCCCCCCAGUGAGGGUGAGUAGCUUGUAAGAGAGGCAGUUGGGUGAAUACAGGUGGUGAUGACUGACCACAGGUCUUUAUUCUUAGCUUAUUUUCCAAAUCAGCUCAAAGAAGCCACACCUACCUGGGCAGAUAGAUUCAGCCUCAGGACCUUAUCUUCUCUUGAAAUAAGACUGGAUCUGACAUAAUAAAUCUUGUUUUAAGACCUUC